AGAGUUUGAUCAUGGCUCAGGAUGUUACGCUAGCUACAGGCUUAACACAUGCAAGUCGAGGGGAAACGAUAGAGAAAUGCUUGCUUUUUCCUAGGCGUCGACCGGCGCACGGGUGAGUAACGCGUAUCCAACCUGCCCACCACUUGGGGAUAACCUUGCGAAAGUAAGACUAAUACCCAAUGACGUCUCUAGAAGACAUCUGAAAGGGAUUAAAGAUUUAUCGGUGAUGGAUGGGGAUGCGUCUGAUUAGCUUGUUGGCGGGGUAACGGCCCACCAAGGCAACGAUCAGUAGGGGUUCUGAGAGGAAGGUCCCCCACAUUGGAACUGAGACACGGUCCAAACUCCUACGGGAGGCAGCAGUGAGGAAUAUUGGUCAAUGGGCGAGAGCCUGAACCAGCCAAGUAGCGUGCAGGAUGACGGCCCUAUGGGUUGUAAACUGCUUUUAUAAGGGAAUAAAGUGAGUCUCGUGAGGCUUUUUGCAUGUACCUUAUGAAUAAGGACCGGCUAAUUCCGUGCCAGCAGCCGCGGUAAUACGGAAGGUCCGGGCGUUAUCCGGAUUUAUUGGGUUUAAAGGGAGCGUAGGCCGGAGAUUAAGCGUGUUGUGAAAUGUAGAUGCUCAACGUCUGCACUGCAGCGCGAACUGGUUUCCUUGAGUACGCACAAAGUGGGCGGAAUUCGUGGUGUAGCGGUGAAGUGCUUAGAUAUCACGAAGAACUCCGAUUGCGAAGGCAGCUCACUGGAGCGCAACUGACGCUGAAGCUCGAAAGUGCGGGUAUCGAACAGGAUUAGAUACCCUGGUAGUCCGCACGGUAAACGAUGGAUGCCCGCUGUUGGUCUGAAUAGGUCAGCGGCCAAGCGAAAGCAUU
rnacentral:rRNA from 1 species